GUACUUUGGAACAUGUGAACAAGCUGCAAUAGGUUAAAGGAGUCAGGGCUUUAGAGGUUCAGUUGCUCUUUGAUUACACCAUAGUAAAUGUGCCCCUUAUGUUCCUGUGCAUUUUUCAUUACACUGUAGAGAUGUGGGGAGCUUGGUUCUGAAAGAGAGAGACUAGAUGCAGUGCAGAAGCUUGAAGAAAUAAGAAAGAAUAACAGACAGAAAAUUAGAAAUAACAGGAUCAAAAAUAAAUGAGAAAAAUGACAGUAUGGUUAUAUAUUAGAUAUCUCUAUACAUAUGUAGAUAAAUAUUAAUGGGAAGGAAAAGCUUCUAUUUCUAAAAAUAUUUUUCAUAUUACAUAUGUAUUUGGCAGAACUUCUGAUUCUUCCAUCUUUAAUGAGAAUCCAAGUCUGUGUACAGGAUCUUUGUUUCAAGAGCUUAAGCAAGCACCUGAAUAAGCUUUUGAAACUUGUCAGAAGAAAAAGUAAAGCAUCUUGAAUAUCCACUAAACUCAUUUAAGGAAGCAGUAACAGACUUCCUUUCAGUUAUGGGGAAUGAUGGGACUUUGUUUCUCUUCAAAGCUAGGAA